rnacentral:rRNA from 1 species
UACGGAGGGUGCGAGCGUUGUCCGGAAUCACUGGGCGUAAAGGGCGCGUAGGUGGCGCGAGUAGUCAACGGUGAAAGCCCGGGGCUCAACCCUGGGUCGGCCGUCGAUACUCUCGUGCUUGAGCACUGUAGAGGCAGGUGGAAUUCCGGGUGUAGCGGUGGAAUGCGUAGAGAUCCGGAAGAACACCGGUGGCGAAGGCGGCCUGCUGGGCAGUAGCUGACACUGAGGCGCGACAGCGUGGGGAGCAAACAGG